UUGGGUUGUUCGUUGGCUAGAACGGAUAGAGAUGCAUUCGCUAGGAAGAGUACGGAUUGUCGUGUAUAUCAAAGCGUCGUUCUGAGCUAAACUGUUAAGUAUCCCGUAACCAAUGUACUACGUGAAACGCUAUGCUGUUAUCCCAGAUGACGAUACUAUGACCGAGUGAGAAGAGGAAACUUCGACUUCAGCUUGUAAUACUAGCAAUGAGCAGAUACAGAAUAACGAGGUCAACCGUGGUUGGAGAAUCAAUAGGAAACAAUAGUUUCCCUGGGAGUUCAGUACCAUUUAAAAUGGCUGACGGUACGAAGAGGGUGGAUAUACACACACAGAAAAGAUUCCACCACCACCAUUAAGGUUCCAGAUAUAAUAAAUGUCAAAUGAGCUCAUUAAUAUCAAAUUGAGAUACGGUUGGAAACAUUGCAUAUGCAACGCAGUAGCAUAAUGAGAAACAGGAUAUCCGAUCUCAAGUGUCAGGACCAUAGAUGAAAGUUUGACCAUGAAUGGAAUUAAUGGAUCCUAGUACGAGGCGUCGUCAUGUUGCAACACGCUGUAGAUAUAAUAAGCGAAGGUUCACUAACCUUACCAAUUUGUUAUUCUGGUAUUGUAACUGUUGUGCCCCGUGGGAACCUAGAUGAGAACCUUAAUUAAUGAUACGCCGAAAAGGGGAGAAAUCGGUGCGUUUGGUUCUCUCUCUUGGUGCGGAUGUAGGUCGGAUGGUGAGGUCUUAUCCGUUCUUCUAUUCCGGAAGACGUGGACGUGUGGAUUCAUGGGAGCCACCAGGGGUGAAUGGUUCAUGAGAGCGAUGGAUGCGAAAUAUUGUUGGGGUGCGUGUGGACCUCUGCGGUCUGGUUGAUGUCGGAAGAGACCUUUGCGAGAUGGUCUGCGGCCACUUUCGAAUUCCGUGGGUGCAGGACUGGGCCUUCGACUGAGGUCAGGUCAAGGCAUUCGAUAAUUUGUUCCCAAGGCCAGGUAGGCUAAAACUUCGUCAUAUCCGGUGGUAAAGAUUCUGAGCUCGCAUAUCGACAUCCUUGAUUACCAUCGAAUACGAAGUAUUAUACAUUUCGUGUAUUUCUAAUAGGAGAAUUAAUUAUAUAAUAUUAUGUACAUUGUAUAGGAAUAACCAGGUGCUCUUCGACUGAUUUGCUACUAAGAGUGUAGCAGAUAGCAGAAAAGGCUUUUUGAUGUCAGAAAUCAAUUUUCUCUGAAGCUCACAAAAAACUCGCAAUAUGGACGCCUUUGAUAAAUAACCGUGGUCUGUGAAGGAAUCGUGAGCCAUUACUCGCCGGAAGUGGUACGCCACUUUUCGGACCCUUUAACUGGAAGGAGUCCAACCCCCGUCACCCGACACUCUGCACCAAGUUCCCCUAUCAUUUCUUUCAGAAAUUAGCUUAUUUGUCCAACAACAAUAACACACAUUGUGAUAUACAAGAUUAUUCACGGCAAAUGCACCAGCUGAAGUUGACAUCAAAUGGGUGAUUUCAUCAAUCAGAACAGUGUGACGUCAUUAAAGAAAUGGAAGUUAUCAUCAUAUUACUAACAUCAUGGGCUUCAGAAUCUUUCAUUUGCUUAACAAGGACACACUGCUUCGAUAGAAUCGCGUCCAACUUCAGCUGGUACGUUUGCCGUGAAUAACCCUGUAUAUAAAAAAUCAAUGCAAAAUUUCAUUAUGCACACGACAGUGUAGAAAAAUAAUAUUGUUUAUAUUCAUAUUUUGUUUGAGAUGAUAUUCAAAGAUAAAGUUAAAGGUAGUUUUAUAGUAUUUGAUAAUCUUAUCUAUUUUUUAGUGUUGCGCUAAUUUUCAUGAUUUCAUGGUAAUCCGUGAUGUGGUACAUACUUACAGAUAUAUUUCAUCCCCUAUACACCACUUUUUCAAGUAUACUCCUAAAAGUCACCCUCCUAUUAUUAUUAUGAGAGAUUAUAAUGAUCUUGCCAAGUAUCUAGUUACUGCACGGUGGUUAGCCACUCUAUUCAGGAUAAAACGCCUGUAUUCGAAAUUACCCCUAUAUUUUCAAGCGUUCUCCAAGUGCACAUUUUGGCGUUUGCUACAUAACGAAAGUUUUUAAAACAUUGCUGUUACAUAUGACACUUGAUUUUCUCAACUUUUCUUUGUAAGAGGAUAUAAAAGUUUUCGAAGUAAGAAAAUUAAAUUCGAAAAAUUGUAUAACAAUCAAAAAAAUAAUUUUUAUUCUUUU